rnacentral:ncRNA from 1 species
GCAUUCUUUAGGGGCAAGGUGAAAUUCCUGACCGGCGGUACAGUCCGCGAGCCGAGUAAUCGGUUGAUUCGGUGUAAUUCCGAAACCGACAGUUAAAGUCUGGAUGGGAUAAAGAGGCU